rnacentral:rRNA from 2 species
UACGUAGGGGGCGAGCGUUGUCCGGAAUCAUUGGGCGUAAAGCGCGUGUAGGCGGCUCGGUAAGUCUGCUGUGAAAGUCCAGGGCUCAACCCUGGAAUGCCGGUGGAUACUGUCGAGCUUGAGUCCGGAAGAGGCGAGUGGAAUUCCUGGUGUAGCGGUGAAAUGCGCAGAUAUCAGGAGGAACACCAAUGGCGAAGGCAGCUCGCUGGGACGUGACUGACGCUGAGACGCGAAAGCGUGGGGAGCAAACAGG